rnacentral:rRNA from 1 species
AUACGGAGGUUGCAAGCGUUACUCGGAAUCACUGGGCGUAAAGCGCGCGCAGGCGGCUAUUUAAGUUGGAUGUGAAAGCCUACGGCUCAACCGUAGAACUGCAUCCAAAACUAUUAGACUAGAGUGUGGGAGAGGAAGAUGGAAUUAGUUGUGUAGGGGUAAAAUCCGUAGAGAUAACUAGGAAUACCAAAAGCGAAGGCAAUCUUCUGGAACACUACUGACGCUGAGGCGCGAAAGCGUGGGGAGCAAACAGGAUUAGAAACCCUAGUAGUCC